rnacentral:misc_RNA from 1 species
GUGGUUGAUGAAGACAUUCGAGCUAAAGGACCAAUUACUUGCUAAUUUUUAUUUACAGGGCCAUUUCCCUGAUCAAGGUACAGAAGGGGACCUUCCAACAUUGAAGUGCUUUGUAAAUUCUGUGGCCGUAAUACUGUUGAUUAGCAUGUGUACAUUUUUCACUUUAUGCUCAUCAAUUUGGUUUAAAAUUUAUGUAACCUUAGUAUGUUGUUAUCUGUCAUCUGCAACCUAUUUCAAUGUUCGUCCAAUACCACUUCUUGGCUAAUUGAACAUUGGCACAAGGUUUUGAGCUUCCAAUAUGCAGCUUAUAAGAAUUAUCCAAGGUGAAUUCCAUAUAGCACAUAAUUUUAGUUGCUUUGCCUGCUAAAGGCAUGCUUGUGCUCCUUGAAAACUCCUUGAAGUUUCUGGCAUUUUUAGAGACUGCUUAUGAACAGUCUUCUCUUUGAUGGCAUAAAUUAUCAAGUAGUUGUGUUGUUGUUAUAAGACUUGCUAGCUAAUAGCCAUGUAUAAUUAAAACAUAUCUCGACCAGUUGUGCGUGAAUUGUAUUUGGCCAAUGAUUGCCUAAAAUUUUACACAGUACAUACACUGAGUUGGUGCAUGCUAGACUGUUGAUGUUGGGCAUCACCACUUUUCUAUUUUGCUACAUUCAGAUCUAGAAAUAUUUAUUUCUAUUAGUUCUGGCUUUCAAGGUUUUUGGUAAUGAAGCGGUGGAUGCCUAUCACAUAAGUUACAUUCUCAAAGGGAUACAUUUGUAUGUAGAUAUGUGGACUUGUACUCCAGUUUGGUCUGCUAAUCCAUCUUGACUUUCCACUUGUCCUACGGAUUCUUAGUCUCCUAAUGUUGGUCAUUUCCUUAAAUUACGUCCUGUCUUUUGAGUGUUUCUGUUUCCAUUUUUAAAGUUGUUCAUUCUCAUCUUUUUGGUUCUUACCUAAAUAUCAAAUACUCCAAUGCAGCAAAAUAAAAUCAAAAUAGAAAUAUAGAAUAGUAACCCAACAUUUGUUUUCUUAUGUCUUGUGCUGCUAAAGUUGUUCAAGGAGAGAAGAUGAUUGCAUAGAUGGAUAACCUGAGCUACCUUGUUUUCUAAACUCUUAAGGGUAGGUAGUGAUGAACUCAUGAAAAGAAUAUUGAAAGUGAAAAUUUUACUGUGAACAUAUAAAUAAUUUUGUUUUAUGAUUACUUGAAAUUCUUGCUAGACUCUCUGUCUGUCGGAAAAGUGGGUAUUCCUCUGAAAAGUGGGGCGUCUGCAGUACCUGACAAUGGUGCUUUCGCACUUUUCAGAUACCUGAGUUGGUGGAAUUUGUAUCCACUCUUCAAGUUGAAUAUUGGAGAUAUCCGAGUAAUCUGAGUCACCAGACGUAUGAUCUCGUGACUACUGUUAUUUGUUGACUUUUAUACAAAGCGCAGGGUUAUAUUUUGCUCUGUUUUAUUUUCUCUAGUUAGAAGUAGCAAUUCCCAAUUACAACUGUAAAUAUGAAUCUUGUUCGCUGACUGUUUUCAGUUUCACAACUUCCAAUUGUUAGAAGUCGAUUUCAUAACUUCCCAAUGAGACAAUAACAUCAGUUUACAAGCCUAUCAUUUUUCCAGUCAUCAAUCAUUUUCUUGCCGCAAUCAAGAAUUCCACGGUGAGCGUUGCAGAAUUUUCCAAAUAAUUGAAGAAAGGAGCCUAGAAGAGCUCAUUUCACCUUUCACAUGGUAAUAUAUUUUUCAGACGUUGCAGAUUGCAAUUCCAGAUGGCAUUUUUAGGUGAUGAAUCCAAGGGGCCACAAAGAGUGAAUUCAGGCUUAUGACCACCAUCAUAUGUCUGAAGUGGAAUGUUAAUUGAACCAUGCAAAAUGAGAGAGAGUAGUUGGUAUAAUUCUUCUUGAAUCCGUAAGAUUCAAGAUUGAGCAUGACUGUAGUGGUCACUGCUAUAGUCAAGACAUCAUGAUGAUGAUUCAAAGAAGUUAAAAGACUACUGGUAGCAAGAAAUUAAAAUGACACAAUGUGUGUAGUAAUAGCAAUCAAUAAUAAUUUACAAUAAUUAAAUAAUAAACAGUUUUCAAAAUGGAAAGUAAAAAAUUAUAUUGUUGCCUAAACAGAGUAAUGCAGUGAAACUUUUUAGUUGCUGGGGUGUUUGAUGAUCCUUUGCAGAACUACAGUCCUUGCCCUUCGAAUAUCUCGGCUGCAUGUAUCAGAUUGUACUCCCAGAUCUUCAACAUGCUUCAUAAACACUUCCAGCUUCUUCUUAAUCUCCUCUAUUGCAACCUUUACAGCAUCUUCCUCAACUGCAAAUUCUGCAUUUAACAUUAGUGCUUCAAUGUCGAUCUCCAACCGAUCAAUAAGAACCCGAAUGUUGUCCAAAUCUUUUAUAGCAACGUAACUACCCACUUGCAUUGUGCUAAUCAACUCCUUCUGUCCCUUCAAGGCAUUUUCAUAGUUCUUCCAUAGGGAAUCAAUCCAUUUCCCCAUUGAGCCAACUGGGAUAGAUGUUGCUGCAGCAAGAGCAGCUGCAACAGGAGGGGCAGCCAUAGCUGCUGCCACAACUGAGCAAAUCAACACAGCAGCACAAGUAGCAACAAAUAUCAUACUUGAAACCUUCCUCCAAGCAUGAAUGUACUUGAGUUUCUUGUCAAGUUUGUUCUUUCUAAAUUUCAGCUUCUCAAGCAUCAAUAUCUGUUGCCUAUAUACAGAUUGAAAGAUCUGAAAAAAUUCCUCAGUGAAAGGAUCACCUGAUGCCUUGAAAUUCUUCAAUCCCUCCAAGGUUUUUACAUACCUAUUCCCUCCAGCCUCACUUUCCUCUUCAAACUGUUGAAGUGCCACCAUAAUAAACAACUGGCUAUCACGGGCACGCUUUAAGCACUUAUCCAAUGCAGUACAGAAAUCUAGAGUUUGCAAACUAUUCUCAAAGUAUUCCUCGACAAGUUCAAACAAUUCUUGAUUCUUCCAUAUAUCUUUCUUGCACUCCAAAAUAACCUUAACAACUUCUUGAUUCAUUUCCAGUAGACAUUCAGUUACUUCUUUCAAGGAAUCGAAUGAAAGAGCUCGAACCUCAACACCAACAGCAAGAGUAUUUAUAACAUGAUUGGUACGAACUUGGAGAGUGGUGUCAAAUGAUUGCAAAUCCUCGUCAAGCCUGCAGGCAGCCUCAUACGAGCUCAAUUCAGUUGUAUAUUGUAGGUUGUUGUUGAGAUUAAUAGUAGAAGAUGCUUCGGCUGGCUUUUUGCUCACAUGACCUCCCAUGGCUUCAAUUGAUAUCUAAACAAAAGCAAGACACAGAAAAACAAUCCAGCUAGAGAUUUAAUUUGCAGCCUUGUCAAGCUCUGAAAUUUCCUUGAUUUCUAUAAACACCCCCGAUUGUAGAUCCUUGAAAACAAGAGGCGGCGAAUACUUUAUGUAUCAGUGAAAACUGAUGAGAACUCCCAAUUGACCCAAAGUUAAAAAGGAACAAUCUUGAGCUGCAAGAUCUCCUGUAAUGACAUGGAAGUAAGUCAAGAACACAGCUUCUUCUUUUUCUUCUAGGGUGAACGGUGAGGAAACGAAAGGGAAAGUUAAAAAAGGGAGGUUA